UAUUUAUGACAAUGAAAAGUACAAAAUAAGUAAUGUGCAUGUUAAACCGUAGAGAACAAUUAUUUCUAACAAGAUAUAGCGCUUUCAUUUUAAUUUUCGUUGGUGAAACAGCGCCCUAUUUCACCGUAGAUUGAAUAUCUCAGUGAGUCAAGACAAAUCGUUAAUCUGGAGUAAACUGUGCAAUUUACAAACUUGGGAAACAUUUAAUUCAAUACUAAUGCAUUGAAAUAGACAUAAAGGGAAUGAAACGGGGCGUGAGUGCCUUUCCUUCACUUAAAUGCCCAGUAUAGGGCCUUGAUGAAUAUUACAAUUCAUUAUGAAGACCGCUUCACGUUAAGACUAUAAUGUUUACAAUUUAUGCGUAAAGGUAAAAUCUUGCGCAUUUCCUGAGUAAGGUGGAGGUCGGAUCAUUCCUUGUUCUCUUCUCCUGUCAUUCCUCUUUUUCUUAAGAAGAUGCUAGUACUUAUUUACAUAGGAUAAGCGUGAGCCGAAUUUUGGUAUUUCUGUGAAAAAUCGGUAAAAAAAAUUCCUUAUCAUGACAUAUACACAAAUCGCUGGGUAUGUCCCCUUCAUCCAUUUCUUAUAUUUGUGUUACCACAGGCCACUGUCCUUCGAAUUCCACCAGUGACCGAUUAUGAAACGAAUCCCUAUAUCAAGCCCAUAUGUUUGGCAGAGGACACUGACAUUGCUGAGGGUACAAGGGCCGUGGUGACCUCGUGGGGGCAGAUGACUUAUGGCGGGGGUUCAACUGAGGUUUACGAAGCCGUCGAAGAGAUCGUACAUAAAGAUAAUUGUAAUGGUAUAAAUGUUGAUCCUGUUCUGCUUCCGUAUAUUUUGUGCACUAAGAGAGUGACACAGGGACCGUGCGUGGCUGUGGAUGGGAGUCCCCUCGUGGUGAAGAUCUGCCCAGACAAGUGGGCACUGGCUGGGCUUUUCCUGAACCAAAAUCAGUGCUCUAAUACCACCAACCAAUAUGUAGCAUAAGUCUCCAUACCUCGAAUCAGGGCUGGAAUAGAUGAUUGGACCGGAUCUUCAACGGAGUGUACCUCAUUCAAGACUUAAUAAUUUGAAGCCUUUUCAGAACUGGAAUGUCUGGCCUUUCUGUCAACUGAGUCUCAUUUCUAGGAAUAGGAAAAUAAUUUAGGCGAGACCUGUUCUGGAUUCUAGACAAGUUUGGUUAAGUUGAUUCUUAUUUCAGGAUUGAAACAGUUUAAUUACAUAA